rnacentral:rRNA from 1 species
GAUGAACGCUGGCGGCGUGCCUAACACAUGCAAGUCGAACGGAAAGACGGUGAGCUUGCGCCUUUAACGUUGGCGGCUGGCGGGUGAGUAACGCGUGGAUCGCCUUCUUAUUUUUCUGGGAUGAUUACGGAAAAAAGGAUAUGAUAAUAGAGCAUAUAUUGUACCGCAUGGAGCAAUGGAGAAUGACGGCUUUGGUGUCUCAUAUAGCUGGUUCCGAGCCGCAUUAGCUAGUUGGUAAGGUAACGGCCUACCAAGGCAACGAUGCGUAGCCGAGCUGAGAGGGUGAUCGGCCACACUGGAACUGAGACACGGUCCAGACUCCUACGGGAGGCAGCAGUGGGGAAUCUUCGGCAAUGGGCGAAAGCCUGACCCAGCAACGCCGCGUGGGUGAAGAAGGCCUUCGGGUCGUAAAGCCCUGUUAUUGGGGAAGAAAAAAUGUGGAAGGAACCAUGGCCGUCUUGACGGUACCCAAUCAAAAAGCACCGGCUAACUACGUG